AUGGAUGAAUGAAUUUUGAUAUUAAUUUUGCCACCGACAGCCGAAAGAGUGACAAGCAGUGAUUCUGGGAACUUUCUGUUAUCAGUAAUGAACUUUUGAUCUGUUUUCCUAUGGUCUUGGUCGUGGUCACGGUUGUUUUGUUUUUUUUCCCUUGCAAAAAAGGGGAGGCACAUGUAUUGUAGAUAGACAGACAGCCGGACGUACGUACAUACGUACGUAAAUAUAUUUGAAUAUUUACCAAGAAAAACGAAAACACUUUAAAUGUUUUUACAAUUGCGCAAUUGUGUACCGAUACGCCAAGUGAAACGCACUGAUUUCAUAUCUAUUUUUACCCCACGAAGCCCUGACAUUGACUGCAUGUGCACGAGACAACCGCUGAUGGAUGAUCGUAUGGUUGACACAGUUACCAAACCUAUCGAAGCCAAAUUGUGAAAGUAGUGCAUGUGAUCUUGUUUUUAUUUGUUUUGAAAGUGCGUUAAAAGAACUGCCACUGUUAAAUGCAAUGUAAUCCGCAGGCGAAUGUUUUUCAUUGUUUCGCUUGGCGCGCCUUAACUAUGUGGCUUAGAGAACUAAACUCUUUGGAAGAAUUUAUUUUAGAAGAUGUAUCAGUAAGUUAGAGUAAUGUCAGAAGCUGAAGUAAAACACCUUUGGGAUUGUAUUUUAAUUGAAAUUUUACAUACAAAAAAUUUUACCCAUCAUAAAUUUUGCUUUGUCAUUUAAGUUUUGCUUUCGUUUUUACGAUGACAUAAAAUGUUUAAGAAUUUACUUCGGCAAUAAAUUUUAGAAUAAAACAUCCUAUUAUCGAAGCUUAACGGCUGUAUUCACCAAAACUUAAUGAAGCCUUAAGCAAAUAUUGUGAAUAACGGCGGAAGACAGUAAAGAUUUAAUUGUUUGCAAAAAUCGUAUGGAUUCUAAAGUGAAUAAUGUUUAUACUCUGCAUCACAAUAUGGGCGUGUAUUCUAACUUUGUCAUUCCGUUUGGAGCAAAAUAAAAAUAUUGAUCUUAGCACCCUGUAAAGUAUAUAUAUACAUACAUAUAUAUAAGAAUGACUUUCGAAGUCGUUCUGGCGAUUGCCAGUUAUGGCUCGAAUUGGCCAAAAACCUCUUAUAUGGCUCUAUUUUCCAAAGGGUUGAGGCAGCUAAAGGGCUCAAUAAGUAAAAUCGUGAGUUGUGUAACCUGUGGUUAUAUAGCUAUUGACUGAUUUAUCUGAACUUUGAUUAGCAUUGAUGUUGGAGGUUAUAAGUGUACUGUGAGUACUUCAGUUCAGCCCAAUUAUAGAAAUUGAGGUUCACUUGCAACUCCAAAAGCUUGCAUUGAUAUGAAGUGCAUUGGUAAUGAAGAAAUAAAAGUCCAGCCUACAUUUAAAAUAAGUGUUUUUGCAGAAGUUUUGAAUGGAGAUAGUUCGAAAGUUAGCGUGUUUCCGACACACGGACGGACAGGUCUAGACUAACUCAAAAUGUCACGUCGAUCCAAAAAAAAAAUAUACGUGUUUUGUGACAAUAAAUUGAGAAAUUUUAUACGGAAUGGCUAUGUUAGUAAACCCUCAUCCCACGGUGGAGGUAAUUUGUAUACCUCCAAAACCUGAAUGAUUGGGAGACAGGGCCUUUAAUUUUACGACGAUCGGGGGCAGUCUGAAAGGUAUGUCUUAAUUUCAUGACAUAGUACAUUUUUUAUAAUAAUAAACUUCCUUAGCCUUUUUAAAUGUAAGUGGCUCUUAUUGCCACCAGAAAAAUUAGCAAAAACUGUCUGCUGAUUUCAUACCAAAUACCAUACCAAAUUUUUCUAAACUUCCAAACCACAACAUACAUUCUAUGCAAUUUUGGACAUACAGUUUCGUUCCAAAACAAAAAUAUGAUUUUAGUAGUUAUUUUAUCUGCUGUUAUUUCAAAUAAAAAAAAGGAUUUCAAA
rnacentral:sRNA from 1 species